CCUGACGCAGCGACGCCGCGUGUGUGACGAAGGCCUUCGGGUCGUAAAGCACUGUCAGCCGGGAAGAAGACGUGCGUAAAGCGCACGUAGACGGUACCGGCGAAGGAAGCACCGGCCAACUCCGUGCCAGCAGCCGCGGUAAGACGGAGGGUGCAAGCGUUGUUCGGAAUCAUUGGGCGUAAAGGGCGCGCAGGCGGCCUUCCAAGUCUGGUGUGAAAGCCCGGGGCUCAACUCCGGAAGCGCACUGGAAACUGGAUGGCUUGAGUCCGAGAGGGGACCGUGGAAUUCCCGGUGUAGGGGUGAAGUCCGUAGAGAUCAGGAGGAACACCGGAGGUGAAAACGACGGUCUGGAUCGGGACUGACGCUGAGGCGCGAAAGCGCGGGUAGCGAACAGGAUUAGAUACCCUGGUAGUCCGCGCCAUAAACGAUGUUCAUUGGACGUUGCAUGGGUUAAACCGUGCAGUGUCGAAGCUAACGCGUUAAAUGAACCGCCUGGGGAGUACGGCCGCAAGGCUAAAACUCAAAGGAAUUGACGG
rnacentral:rRNA from 1 species